rnacentral:rRNA from 1 species
CCUACGGGUGGCUGCAGUGGGGAAUAUUGCACAAUGGGCGCAAGCCUGAUGCAGCCAUGCCGCGUGUGUGAAGAAGGCCUUCGGGUUGUAAAGCACUUUCAGCGGGGAGGAAGGCGGUGAGGUUAAUAACCUCAUCGAUUGACGUUACCCGCAGAAGAAGCACCGGCUAACUCCGUGCCAGCAGCCGCGGUAAUACGGAGGGUGCAAGCGUUAAUCGGAAUUACUGGGCGUAAAGCGCACACAGGCGGUCUGUCAAGUCGGAUGUGAAAUCCCCGGGCUCAACCUGGGAACUGCAUUCGAAACUGGCAGGCUAGAGUCUUGUAGAGGGGGGUAGAAUUCCAGGUGUAGCGGUGAAAUGCGUAGAGAUCUGGAGGAAUACCGGUGGCGAAGGCGGCCCCCUGGACAAAGACUGACGCUCAGGUGCGAAAGCGUGGGGAGCAAACAGGAUUAGAUACCCCAGUAGUC